GAGGAAUGGUAUCGAACGUACCCCGAGGAGGAGGAUAGUCUGGGGAAACUCAGAAUAAUACUCCAUGAUCUCUCCGGAGCAAAGGCUACGGCGCCUCGGGAGCGGCGAUACUCCUAUCAGGUCGUUGGUGAGGUAACGGCUCACCAAGCCGAAGACGGGUAGCGGGUGUGAGAGCAUGACCCGCCGCAUCGGAACUGAGACACUGUCCGGACUCCUACGGGAGGCUGCAGCGACGAAUCUUCCGCAAUGCACGAAAGUGCGACGGAGCAAUGCCGCGUGUGGGAUGAAUCGGCUUCGCCGUGUAAACCACUGUCAGGGGUUCGUAAUACUGAACAACCCCAGAGGAAGGGCCGGCUAACCUCGUGCCAGCAGCCGCGGUAAUACGAGGGGCCCGAGCGUUAUUCGGAAUCACUGGGCUUAAAGGGAACGCAGGCUGGCUCGCAAGCAUCUCGUGAAAUCCCCCGGCUCAACCGGGGAACUGCGGGGUGAACUGCGAGCCUUGAGGUGGGUAGAGGUCGUCGGAACGAUCGGUGGAGCGGUGAAAUGCGUAGAUAUCGAUCGGAACGCCAAAGGUGAAGACAGGCGACUGGGCCCAACCUGACGCUCAUGUUCGAAAGCGUGGGGAGCAAACAGGAUUAGAUACCCUGGUAGUCCACGCCCUAAACGUUGUGCACUAGGCCCCGGGCGUUUCAACGCGUUCGGGGUCGAAGAGAAAUCGAUAAGUGCACCGCCUGGGGAGUACGGUCGCAAGGCUAAAACUCAAAGGAAUUGACGGGGGCUCACACAAGCGGUGGAGCAUGUUGCUUAAUUCGAAGCAACGCGAAGAACCUUACCUGGGCUUGACAUGCACGGAUUAACUCUAUGAAAGUAGAGCCACGCCUUCGGGUGGAACGUGCACAGGUGCUGCAUGGCUGUCGUCAGCUCGUGCUGUGAAGUGUCGGGUUAAGUCCCUUAACGA
rnacentral:rRNA from 1 species